UUAUCAUCAACCAUCCCAGAGGGUCUUUCCUGCCAUCGCUUCUUUUUAAGUUCAGUCAACAAGGAGCCAAUCUGGACUGAGAAGACUGACCUAUGGAGAGUGAACACACCAAAGACUAACGACAAAGGGGAAUUCCUAAGCCUGCUCCUUAUAGAAACCUUGGAUAGCUCAUUGCCUUGAUGCCUUGAUCCAUAAAUGUUCAAAGGAGCAAAUGUGUUCAUGUUUGGCUUCCAGGAUGGAAGGUGUAUAUGAGUCUUUUAAAAAUGAUUUAUUUCUUGUAUUUCAUGUUUUAUGCCUUCCUUAUUGUAGGAGGAAAUAACUCUAGGUGUGGGGGAGGAGGAGAGA